AUUGAACGCUGGCGGCAGGCCUAACACAUGCAAGUCGAGCGAGCGGCGGACGGGUGAGUAAUGUAUGGGGACUGCACGAGAGAGGGGGAUAACAACUGGGAACGGUGGCUAAAACCGCAUACUGUCGGAUAUCCCAUAUGGGAUUAUCUAGUAGGUAAGGUAAUGGCUUACCUAUGCGACGAUCCCUCGCUGGUCUGCUAGGAUGAUCAGCCACACUGGGACUGAGACACGGCCCAGACUCCUACGGAGGCAGCAGUGGGGAAUAUUGCAAAAUGGGCGCAAGCCUGAUGCAGCCAUGCCGCGUGUAUGAAGAAGGCCCUAGGGUUGUAAAGUACUUUCAGUCGGGAGGCGUUACCGACAGAAGAAGCACCGGCUAACUCCGUGCCAGCAGCCGCGGUAAUAC
rnacentral:rRNA from 1 species